rnacentral:rRNA from 1 species
UACGUAGGGCGCAAGCGUUGUCCGGAAUUAUUGGGCGUAAAGAGCUCGUAGGCGGCUUGUCACGUCGAUUGUGAAAGCCCGAGGCUUAACCUCGGGUCUGCAGUCGAUACGGGCUAGCUAGAGUGUGGUAGGGGAGAUCGGAAUUCCUGGUGUAGCGGUGAAAUGCGCAGAUAUCAGGAGGAACACCGGCGGCGAGGGCAGGUCUCUGGGCCAUAACUGACGCUGAGAAGCGAAAGCAUGGGGAGCGAACAGG